CCCCUAGAUGUUCUGGGCCGCACGCGCGCUACACUGAACAGUUCAACAAGUCUUAACCUUGGCCGAUAGGUCUGGGUAAUCUUUGAACGCUGUUCGUGAUUGGGAUAGACCUUUGCAAUUAUGGGUCUUCAACGAGGAAUUCCUAGUAAACGCAAGUCAUCAGCUUGCAUUGAUUACGUCCCUGCCCUUUGUACACACCGCCCGUCGCACCUACCGAUUGAAUGGUCCGGUGAAUUCUUCGGACUGCGGCUUUGACUCGAUUUCGGUCGAGGCGUUGCUGCGGGAAGUUGAUUAAACCUUACCAUUUAGAGGAAGGUGAAGUCGUAACA
rnacentral:rRNA from 1 species